GACGAACGCUGGCGGCGUGCUUAACACAUGCAAGUCGAACGGUGAAAGCGGAGCUUGCUCCGCUGGAUCAGUGGCGAACGGGUGAGUAACACGUGGGCAACCUGCCCCUCACUUCGGGAUAACUCCGGGAAACCGGGGCUAAUACCGGAUAUGCCCUCCUUGGGCAUCCUUGGAGGUGGAAAGUUUUUCGGUGAGGGAUGGGCCCUCGGCGUAUCAGCUUGUUGGUGAGGUAGUGGCUAACCAAGGCAACGACGGGUAGCCGGCCUGAGAGGGCGACCGGCCACACUGGGACUGGGACACGGCCCAGACUCCUACGGGAGGCAGCAGUGGGGAAUAUUGCGCAAUGGGCGAAAGCCUGACGCAGCAACGCCGCGUGCGGGAUGACGGCCUUCGGGUUGUAAACCGCUUUCAGCAGGGAAGAAGCCACAAGGUGACGGUACCUGCAGAAGAAGCACCGGCUAACUACGUGCCAGCAGCCGCCGUAAUAC
rnacentral:rRNA from 1 species